CUCCCCCGCUGGAGUGCCGGGAUGUCUUCUGGGGGAAGAGACGGAGAGGAGUUGCCAAUCCUGUCUUUCAGGAGCUUAGGGAGGGCUCCUGAAGGUCGCAGGGUCCUAGAAGCAGCUCCCCUGAUGUUGCAGGUCACGCGUGUCUACCAUGAUUGCUCUGCUCAGCCUAGAUGUCCUAGAGCUGCCCCAGUUGUCUUAACUAAUGCAGACUCAACCACGGAGGCUCAGAAGAGGCACGGGCCAACCUCAGCCCCAACGCAGUGCAGUGGGGUUGGGGGUGGAGCUGGACCUCCACAGUGCUUUCCUAGUGGGCUAGACUACAGCCCACUUCAUUCCAACCUCCUUCCCUUAGAAAUAGGGUCUGUGAAGGACACGCGGGGAGGCCCUGCUCCCCACAAACACCAUUCUCUCUCACCAUCCCAUCUUCCUCCCUCACCCCUGCUUUCCUUAGUACAGUGGCAGCGCAGCCAAAGACCUGCCGCCCUGGACUGGGGGCUGCUGGCAAUGAGCAUUAAACUGAACUCCUGGGACAAUUCGCUCUCAUCUCAGGAUCACAGCUGCCCCCUAAGGUCACCGACUACCUCCCAACUGCCAAAGCCUAGGAUUAACCUCGGGCCUCCUCAGGGCUCUGCUCCGACCUUAUCAAGCUCUAGAUCUUCUCUCCCUGGUCUCUCUCACAUCUGGACAGCCAUAGAGACAGCCUCACCCGGCACCCUCCAUCCGCCUGCCUGGGGACUCCCACCCAUCUGACUGUCUCCACUUGGUGCCACCUGCAAGUGCAAAGGGAACAACUGUCCUAAGUCACUACGAGGCUUGGCAACCAGGUAAUUUAUGAGCAAGCCAGGACACUGUGAAAAGGGGACUACGCCAUUACAUCAGGGCAACAAGCACAAACCAAGACGCUCUGGGGUCUACCUCUCCCUACCCCGUGACAAGUACAGCCUGGACCCUAGCUCCAUUCACCUUCCACCUCUUUGACCUCUCACACCCCUCAGCCAGGUCCACCUACAGUGACUCCAUCAUCAGCUUGUCCCUCUGUCACCCACCCCCAUCCUCACAGCUGUCUCUCGACCCAGCUCCAUGGUUGCUUGCCAGGGUAAUCUGCCUCUAACACAAAUCUGAUCAUGUUACUCGGGCUUAGGAGCUCUCCAAGCUGUGGCCCCGAGUACAGAGGUCCUGCCUGCACCCCGCCUCUGCAGAUCAGCCCAGUACCAGGAAUCUCCGAGUCUGCUCAGCCAUGAGACCCUUGGACUGAAUGAAGCUCCCAUCCCCCACCUCAAACUCAUUCCAUGCCUGGUCCCAAGCAGCCUCCCUUGCUGCCACCAACACAGGUGCCUUUUCACCUUCCUGAAGGGCUUUCUGAUCAAACUGUUUGCCCUGAAUCCUACUCAGCCUGUUAUGAAACAAGCUGUCUAACCUUGGAGAACCUUAAUUUACCUAUCUGUGAAAUGGGACCCACGCAGCAUGCUUGCGACUGAGGGAGAACCACACAAGUCAUGAAUGUGGCGACGAAACUGUCCCAGCUGCAGCUCAUUCCCUGUCACAGAAAGAGCUCCCGGAUGGUGGGGACUGAGGGAUGGUCUUUCCACCUCUCCCAGCAGCAAGCAGGCACAGAAACUGGGACGAGCCAGCCACGCUCCAAGUUGAUUCUGUCUCAUGCCCCAGGUCUCAACCUAAACGUCUCCUUCCAUAACCACCUAACACCCAACCAUGCCUCAUUGGGAGUCCUUUAUCUCAAAGCCUGUUGACGCUUCUGUCUUGAUUAACAACAAGUACUGGGCUGUACCGUGCCUGUCAUAUAUUAGAAACUUAAUAAAAUGCGAUCUAUGAGCA